rnacentral:rRNA from 1 species
AGGGCACCACCAGGAGUGGAGCCUGCGGCUUAAUUUGACUCAACACGGGAAAUCUCACCAGGCCCGGACACUGGAAGGAUUGACAGAUUGAGAGCUCUUUCUCGAUUCGGUGGGUGGUGGUGCAUGGCCGUUCUUAGUUGGUGGAGUGAUUUGUCUGGUUAAUUCCGAUAACGAACGAGACUCUGUCCUGCUAAAUAGUUCCCGCGUCCUUUGUUGCGCGGGAAAUUCUUCUUAGAGGGACUGGCGGCGUCUAGCCGCACGAGAUUGAGCAAUAACAGGUCUGUGAUGCCCUUAGAUGCUCUGGGCCGCACGCGCGCUACACUGAAGGGAUCAGCGUGUCUUCCCUUCCCGAGAGGGACGGGUAACCCGCUGAACCCCCUUCGUGGUAGGGAUCGGGGCUUGCAAUUAUUCCCCGUGAACCAGGAAUUCCCAGUAAGCGCAAGUCAUAAGCUUGCGUUGAUUACGUCCCUGCCCUUUGUACACACCGCCCGUCGCUACUACCGAUUGAACGUUUUAGUG